AUUGUGGCGACGUCAUGUGAUCCAUACUUCCUAGUCUGGUCGCAUUUCGCUACUUCGAGGUCGUGUAGCGUUGUCAAGCGCAUAAGUUAACUUUUUCUACUUUUAAAACUCUAUAACCAAAGACAGACAUGGCGGAGCUUAGUUUUGUAAUUCCUAUGUCGGUGAUGACUCUGUUUUGGGGGAUUAUUGGUGGAGUUGUGCCGUGGUUUGUCCCCAAGGGACCGAACAGAGGAGUGAUAGUUACCAUGUUGGUGCUAACUGCUGUCUGCUGCUACCUGUUCUGGCUGAUAGCGAUCCUGGCCCAGCUCAACCCUCUGUUUGGACCAGCUCUAAAGAACGAUACCAUCUGGUACAUGUACUACCACUGGCCCUAGUCUACCAGUCUACCAGUCCUCUGCCCCUCCCCUGCUACAGGUAAACCCACUGGCCCUAGUCUACCAGUCCUCGGCCCCUCCCCUGCUACAGGAGAGGACCUGACUCACUGCUGUACACCAAUGAAGCACACGAUCGCCUCCUCACAAAGGGAACUGUUCUUGUAAAUCUAGAGCCUUUACCCAGCCUUUGACACCCGACCUUAGAGAGUGUGGAGAGAUGCCUGCAAAGGUGCUUCGUACAAACUGAUCCCCAAAGGACUUUUCUGAAAAUAUCCUCUUUACUUCUUUAAGAAUGGAAGUAUCAACCUUUUCUUUGAUUUGUAUGGCUUGUUCUGUAUAUUGUGCUGUGACAUUUUGAUUCUCUAAUACUGAUAUAUGAUCUUGCAAGGCAUGGUACUAGUUACCCUAGCCCAUUCGGUGGUGGGUUAAAUGCGGAAGACACAUUUCAGUUGUACAACCCACUAGGUAUCCCCCUUUGUCAUUCAUAGACGCUAACUAACCUUAGCGCCUAUUGACUAUACCAACUUCUCUCCAGAGGAGCCCCAAUGCUUGCUCUAAACAUAAACAAGCAUCGCUUGCGGUAAGGUUUUGGAAACAUAGGAACGUAUCUUUCAUAUCAGCUAGGGGAAAAUAUGUUAAAUUACUACACUUAUUUUUAAUAGGGUUAGGGUUCCCAAACGGUCAAAUUUCCGUUUUUACAGCGUUUGUUUACGGUAGACAGAAGCGACUACCUGCUAAUUCGCUUUCUGCGACUAGGAACACCUGCGUGUACACGGAAGAUGGGCGCCACAAACGUGUCACUGUAAAAUAACUGGUUAAAACUGCAUUAAGUGUAUAUUCAGCAUUUGUGAAAUUAUUUUGAUGUGAUAUGAAAGUAAAGGGCUUUAUGUUUCUAGAACUGUACCGCAAUGAAUAAUCGAUUCAUACUGGUUCGCCUGCAGGAGCAAAUUCGCCACUUAACAGUAACUUUAGGCUCCUUUUUAUUGGACUAUAGCUACCCCAUAUGUUAAUAUGUAUGUUGCACGUAAUGUGGCCUUUCGUUGAUUCCAUGUGUCCCUCCAUUGGGUGUUUGUGAUGGAUUUCAUUCAUUGUCCUUAUAAAUUAAAGAUAUUAAACCAUCAA